AGGAUCCAUUUUGGUAUAAAAAUGGUGCUCUGAACGGCUGUUAACACAUUUGAUUUGAAAGUUUCGUCUAAAAGAAAUCUAAUAACUAUAGCAGAAAAUUUGGACAACCUAAGAUUUUGAGAAAGCAAUGUAAAGCAUUUCUUUAAAAUGAUAACACAACUUAAAGAAAUCAAAAACUUUUCCAAUAUAACACUAGCCAUAGCCAUGCUUACAUCAAUUACAGAUAACUGGUUAUGAUGUUGGAUGCCAUUUCUUUUAACAAUAGGUUGUAACUGCAUGAAUCCCAAUUAUAAGCACACUAAACGUCUAAGUGUAUUCUAAGUCAUACACCAUAUAUAUAACAUUUUUAUAGAAAAUUGAUUAAAAAUAAUUUUACUCAUCUGUACUCUGUAGGUCCUAUGUAUUGCACAAACACUGCAUCUGGACUGAAGACAAAACACUGCACUUGGACUGAAGACAAACACUGCACUUGGACUGAAGACAAAAACUGCACAUAGACUCAAGACUUUAGACAUAAUAUCCAAGUUAAAUGAGACUAGGAACCACUGGAACUAGCUCCUUCAAAACAUAUUCAUUAUUGACCUCUAUAUUGAUGUGUUAUGAUGAAAUCAUGUUUUUGAUAGUUGCAUUGAUAAAUAAUCAUGCAUGAAAACAUUGGAUUGACUUUGACCCAAGACUUAUUAUAGUUUCUCCAGAGUAUAAAUGAGUUUGCCAAUUUGAAGUGUUUAGAAAAUUGAGUUUUAAAAUUACCAAUUUGUGAAAUUUGAUAGCAUGGCUGAUGGCUGGUGCACUAAAAUGGAUUUUCAUAAUUGGCUGUAUUUUCACUGAUAAAAAAUUCUGAAAAAUUGUAACAGCAAAUAGCUUCUGUUUUAAGCAGAUAUAAAUUAAGAGCUUUUGUUAAAUUUCUUUAAUUUAUGUUGCCCUCCUUGAUGGAAGAAGACCCAUUCAUGGCAGAUAGCAAGAGUCAUAAUAUACCCAAAUAUGUUCCACUCCAACAAGAGGGAUUUCAUGGUGAAAAACUACCGGGAAGAGUCGCAU